ACCAAACUCGACAUUCUGAAGCUAACCACGCUGACGGAAUUCUCAUCCGAGCGCGUUUACUCAGAAUGUUGACCAAAGUCAAACUUAAGCCAAAUUUCAAAGGCUAAAACGCCUAAUCGCACCGACUCACACUGAAAACCUCGGGAGUCAUGUCGACCAUGCUACUAGCCUAAAAUGACCCUUCCGGAGCUGAUGGAAUCGUCAGAAUUGGAUUCUGAUGUCAUCUCCUUGAACUUUUGAUCGAAAAUGAUUAUUCAAGGUUCAUAAGCUCCAAAACACAAAAACUCGC
rnacentral:lncRNA from 1 species